rnacentral:rRNA from 1 species
UGCCUACGGGGGGCAGCAGUAGGGAAUCUUCCACAAUGGGCGAAAGCCUGAUGGAGCAACGCCGCGUGGGUGAAGAAGGUCUUCGGAUCGUAAAACCCUGUUGUUAGAGAAGAAAGCGCGUGAGAGUACUGUUCACGUUUCGACGGUAUCUAACCAGAAAGCCACGGCUAACUACGUGCCAGCAGCCGCGGUAAUACGUAGGUGGCAAGCGUUAUCCGGAUUUAUUGGGCGUAAAGGGAACGCAGGCGGUCUUUUAAGUCUGAUGUGAAAGUCUUCGGCUUAACCGGAGUAGU